AAGUCGUAACAAGGUUUCCGUAGGUGAACCUGCGGAAGGAUCAUUAACAAAUCUGUGAGAGUGGGGGGGGUGAGUUGGGGGGAGAGUGUGUGGUGGGGUGUUGCUCUAUCACACAUCAAUCCUCAACGAUCCAACCCAACACACAUUGACUCGGGCGCUACUCUGUGAUCACCUUCUUGGUGGUUCCGGUGGAGAUUGCCCUGAGACAUACACGCUUGUUUUGUUUGACUGUAUUAUCAAUAAUUUAAUUAUGACAACUUUUAACAAUGGAUCUCUUGGCUCUU
rnacentral:misc_RNA from 1 species